CGCCAGAUAGCUCAGUUGGUAGAGCACCUGACUGGAGAUUCAGGGGGCCCCGGUUCAUAUCCUGGUCUGGUCG
rnacentral:tRNA from 1 species